rnacentral:rRNA from 1 species
CCACCCGUGAGGAUGCCCAAGUUCUCUAUUUGAGACCUCGGAGCAGGUAUCAGGCGCGAGCCCCCCUCAGCCCAUAACACCUUGUUCAGCCACACCCCCAAGGGCACUCAGCAGUGAUUAACCUUAGGCAAUAAGCGAAAGCUUGACCUAGUGGUAGCCAACAGAGCCGGUAAACCUCGUGCCAGCCACCGCGGUGAUACGGAGGGCUCAAGUUGAUCGCCGUCGGCGUAAGGUGUGGUUAGAGUAAAAACUAGAGUAAAACUAAAAGAAAACGGAGCAGUGUAACGCCAACCACCGUAUGUCGGAGAACCAGAAACGAAAGUAGUUUUAUACAUCUUGAUUCCACGAAGGCUAAGAAA